rnacentral:lncRNA from 1 species
UCCGGCUCACCGUGACCCCGUAUGGGACAAGCGGUUCAGAAAAUGUGUGUGUGAUGGGUCUCAUUUGUGCCUAUCUGAGGCAAAGCUGAUGGACACAAUGUAUUUGAUCUGUAUCUUUGUUAUAUAAAGCUUUUUGUAGUCUUUUGCAAUUUUAUUUUCAACUCAAAGCGGGGUGCGGUGGCGCAGCGGGUUUGGCCUGUGCCUGCUCUCUGGUGGGUCUGGGGUUUGAGUCCCACUUGGGCUGUCUUGUGAUGGACUGGCGUCCCCUCCUGGGUGUGUCCCCUCCCCCUCCAGCCCUCUGCUCUGUGUUGCCGGGUUAUGCUCUGGCUUGCUGCAACCCUGCUUGGGGCAAGAGCUUUCAGUGUGUGUGUGUGUGUGUGUGAGUGAUUUUUAACUCAUAUACACAGUUUGUCAUUAAUACUGCAGCAAGCUGGUCUUAUAGAUGGUGGACUUUGUCAGCUGGGACCAGUUUUCUUGAGGUAAUCUCUGGUACAGAUCAGUGUAAGGUUUGUAUAAAGGGAAACAUCUUUUGGUGUCAAUAUGGUUUUUCAUGUUUCCAACUGCAUCUUAUGCAGAAAUUGAUGUUUUAUUUGAUCCAGCUGAUACUGUGUUGCUGCACUUCUACUACUGUGCUAUUUACUCAUGAGGUAUUAUUGUCUCCCCAGUGCUGGCGUUGCCCAUCUUAGGGAUGAAAUCAACAGCAAUAAACGGAGUUGCUGGAGAAUCAGUUGUGCUUCACACAGGACUGGGAGAUAAAAGCCAUUCAAUCCUGAUGCACUGGAUGAAGGAUAAAAAUAUUAUCAUUCAAAUAAAAAAUAAUAAGACACAAGUAAAAAUGUCACAAUAUAAAGGAAGAAUUUCAGUGGAUGAGAAAACUUGGUCUUUAACCAUUUACCCUGCAAGAGCAACUGAUGGUGGAGAGUAUGUUUUUCAAAAGUUGAAUUCAGCCCCAACAAUGUCAACAAUACUUCAUGUUUACGAGAGGAUAGUGUCAGUGUCAGUGCAGUCCCAGGUGAGCUACAGUCCAGAGAACACCACCUGCAAUGUCACUCUGAGGUGCCUUGUGAACGGCAGCGUGGAGAUGCUCUCCUGGAAAAGAGACAAUCGGGAGAUCCCUGGUGUGGAGGGCAGAGAGACCCUGACGGUCAGCGAUUCCCAGGGGGGAGUCUACUCCUGCACUGCGUCCAACCCCGUCAGUUCACAAACCGAGGAGGUGCUGGUCAACCGAUGCCACAUGUAUGGUAGGUGUAUGAAUAAAAUGUGUUACUCCUCAAGCAUUAUGUUUUACCCAGAAUUUCAGGUGCCUGACAGACUGUCAGUUUCUUUGUACAGAUACUCCUACAACCAGAAAUCUAUUUUGCACUUUUUACCCUAG